UGGAAAUUAUAAAAGGUAAUUGGAUGUUUGUUUGGGGGGGAGGUGUGAUUGGAAACAUUCUAAUUUAACACUUAAUGUUAAUGUUGUAUAAUGUGUUUUUGAGAGAGAGAAUGUACAAAGGCUACAUGGGAGUACUGAUUUCGGAGUGCAUCCGAGGCAUGUUGAAAUUUUGGGGAAGGGUGUUUUGUUUUGUUUUACAACAUUGCCAGCGAUUAGUGCCCAAAAUAAGCUCACCAGCUGAAUAUAGACAGCCUAAAAAUCUCUAACAGGUUCAUUGACAUAAAUGAUCCCGUGAUUUGAUCCAA
rnacentral:snoRNA from 1 species